rnacentral:rRNA from 1 species
CCCUUAGAUGUUCUGGGCUGCACGCGCGCUACACUGAUGCGCUCAACGAGUUUUAACCUUGCCUGGAAAGGUUGGGUAAUCUUUUUAAAACGCAUCGUGAUGGGGAUAGAUUAUUGCAAUUAUUAAUCUUCAACGAGGAAUUCCUAGUAGGCGCGAGUCAUCAUCUCGCGUCGACUGCGUCCCUGCCCUUUGUACACACCGCCCGUCGCUACUACCGAUCGAACGUUCUAGCGAGGUCGUCGGAUCGAUCGAACGCCGGCCUCCGGGUCGGCGCCGGCCGCGAAAGCGAUCGAACUCGAGCGUUUAGAGGAAGUAAAAGUCGUAACA